GGAGUUGUGGCUCAGUGGUAGAGCUCUCACUUAGCACAUGAGAGGGCCUGGGUUCAAUCCUCAGCACCA
rnacentral:tRNA from 1 species